AUAAGUUAUCAAAAGUAGAAAUACUAUAAAAAAAUAAAGCUUAAUAAGUUAUCGAUAGUUGUUUGAGAACUUAAAGAAGAAAUUCAAAUUGUAAAUCAAGGAAAGAAGCUUGAUGUUGAAGAUGAACAAGAAAAAGAUUUCGAAGAGCAGCUUGAAGAUGAAAAUGAGGAACAUAAAGAGCAACUUGGAGACAUUAAGCUUGAAGAGUAUGAGAUUGAAGAAUUUGAAGAUUUGAGUCUUGAACAUUUACAUGUUGAAGAGCCUAUUCCAGAGCAAGAAGUUGAUAAAACUCCAAAAGCAAAGCUAGAGGAAGUUAUAUUUGGGAAUGAAGAAGAUGCUAUGGAGACAUCAAUGAAAAUUGAUGAUUCUGUUGAGAUAAAGGACAUUUCAACUAUUGUUCUAAUUGAUAUUAUCUAUAUGGAUGUUUCUAAGAAUACAAAAGAGAGUGCAAAACUGCAAACUUCUUCAAGUCAAUCUUGCUGCUACCAUACAUGAAGAUAGUAUUGUGUGUUCUCCGCAUUUGAUUUGUGAACCUUUAGCACUUCAAGACUCGAGGACAAGUUUUCUCCAACCAGGGGAGAAUAA
rnacentral:misc_RNA from 1 species